rnacentral:rRNA from 1 species
UACGUAGGGGCCGAGCGUUGUCCGGAGUUAUUGGGCGUAAAGCGCGCGCAGGCGGCCUCGCGCGCCCGACGUGAAAGCCCCCGGCUUAACCGGGGAGGGUCGUUGGGGACGGCGGGGCUUGAGGGCGGGAGAGGUCGGUGGAAUUCCUGGUGUAGCGGUGAAAUGCGUAGAUAUCAGGAGGAACACCGGUGGCGAAGGCGGGUCUCUGGGCAACAACUGACGCUGAGGAGCGAAAGCGUGGGGAGCGAACAGG